GCCGGAAGAGGCGGGUAAUGGGGCGUGGCCUGGAAAGGGCCUGGCUCCCUCUGACUCUGCCGUUCACUCUCUGCUUCCUUUCCGCCAUGCUGCAGCUCGUCUCUUCUACACCAGGUCUUUCCACCAUGCCCUUCCUGCCUUGGAGCUGGUGACCACGCACUGGAGCUUCUAAAGCUGUGAGCCAAAACAAAUCUGUCGUUCUUUCAGUUUGGGAUGUCAGGUAUUGUGUUCCAGCAAUGAGAAAGUGACUAAGGCAAGACUUCGUCAGGCCUGGUUUCCAGCGGAUGUUUGGGGGUUGAGUGGCUGCUCAGCUAGCUUUCCAGAAUUCUGUUUUUGUUUUUUGUUUGUUUUUUGAAACAAGGUCUCACUAUAUAGUCCAGGGUGGCCUUGAAUUCACUAUGGAGCCCAGGCUGACCUCGAACUCACAGUGAUCCUCCUGCCUCAGCCUCCCGAGUGCUGGGAUCACAGGUGUGCACCAUCAUGCCCGGCUCAGAAUCAUUGGCCAGUGACAACUUUAUCACUCGUGACAGGGGCCACUGAGAAGCUUGAAGAGCUCAGAUUCUGAAUCAAAGUCCUUAGUUGAUUGGACCAUGAUGAGCACUUGACCUGGGGAAGCUAAUCCAUAAACCAACUGGCAUACGCCCUGGCACGAAGAAAGCUGGGCCACUCCUAUCUGACCCUCAGCACUUUCAACCAGGGCCCAUUAGCAAGGAGGAGGUGUGAGUCAAGGUCACAACAAUCCAAAGCGCUGUACAGGAGCAGAGCCGCUGUCAGUCAGAGGUGCAGGGCUCCAUCUGAAGGGCAGUGAGUACCCUCCUUCCAGCUCAGUGCUGGGGACCGGAAGGGCUUCAGCAGGAACGGA